rnacentral:pre_miRNA from 1 species
GUAAUAUAAGAUAUAGUCUCUUAGUUUUAACUAAAAAAUCUAAGAAACGUCUCUUAAAUAAGAUAUAUAAGAGACGUCUCUUAGCUUUUUUAGUUAAAAACUAAGAUACCGCAUUUUAUAUUAC